GGUUCAGAGUUCACAUGAGCAUGGUAUC
rnacentral:piRNA from 2 species